UGAACGCUGGCGGCGUGCUUAACACAUGCAAGUCGAACGAUGAAGCCUAGCUUGCUAGGUGGAUUAGUGGCGCACGGGUGAGUAAUAUAUAGUUAACGUGCCCCUUAGUCUGGGAUAGCCAUUGGAAACGAUGAUUAAUACCGGAUAUUCCUUCUUAUCAAAAGAUAAGAUGGGAAAGUUUUUCGCUGAGGGAUCGGACUAUAUCGCAUCAGUUAGUUGGUGGGGUAAGAGCCUACCAAGACAAUGACGCGUAGCGGGUUUGAGAGGAUGAUCCGCCACACUGGUACUGAGACACGGACCAGACUCCUACGGGAGGCAGCAGUGAGGAAUAUUGCACAAUGGGGGAAACCCUGAUGCAGCAACGCCGCGUGGAGGAUGACGCAUUUCGGUGUGUAAACUCCUUUUAUAUGUCAAGAAAAUGACGGUAGCAUAUGAAUAAGCACCGGCUAACUCC
rnacentral:rRNA from 1 species